CUCCGUUCCAUAAUAAAUAACCAUUGCUGCUUCGCAGCCUGACUUUAGUGUCUUGGAAUUACAUUUCCCUAAAGACAGGUAACCAUCAACAGAUUCACAGGACCGCACUCGUGUGGCUUUCACAACACUCCCCAAGCGGGGGAGGCGAGCGUCGGAAGCGGAAGAUUGGAAUCUCGAAAUUGGCCGGGAAAAAGAGGAAGAGAAAACAUAAACACGCCGAGAGCGCAACGAAACUCCCGCCGCCACUUACGGCGGAAGUUGCUGCUGCUGUUGCUGCUGGGUCAUAGCAAAGAGAGAAGAGAGAAAGAGUGAAACAUAUUAGCCACAGGCCGCGGAAAAGUGCAAAGUCAAAGUCUGGAGUCCUGCGGUACACUGGAAGGGAAGCUUUACACAAGUUUGAAUUUUUAAAGGGAAGAUGCGUUCAGUGUUGCAGAUUUUGGGGUCUCUGGACGUUUGAUGAUCUUUUUCAUCUAAUACAUAUUAGUUUUAUGUGUAAUCUUGUAACAAAUUUAUAACUAGAGAUGAACUGAAUACAGUGAAACUUCGAUAUAA